rnacentral:rRNA from 1 species
ACCUACGGGGCGCAGCAGUAGGGAAUCUUCCACAAUGGGCGAAAGCCUGAUGGAGCAACGCCGCGUGGGUGGAGAAGGUCUUCGGAUCGUAAAACCCUGUUGUUAGAGAAGAAAGUGCGUGAGGGUAACUGUUCACGUUUCGACGGUAUCUAACCAGAAAGCCACGGCUAACUACGUGCCAGCAGCCGCGGUAAUACGUAGGUGGCAAGCGUUAUCCGGAUUUAUUGGGCGUAAAGGGAACGCAGGCGGUCUUUUAAGUCUGAUGUGAAAGCCUUCGGCUUAACCGGAGUAGUGCAUUGGAAACU